GUCAGACAGUACGCUGCAUCCUUUCUUGGGACUUGGAGGACAUGGGAGAGUGAGCCGAACGUGCAGCUGAAUCAAAGACCCCUGACUGUAAGGCCUUAUGAGGAGGUUUGUUUAUGAUAUAUCCAGUUUUUGGAUACAGAUUGAUCCUGUCGACUGAUAUAAGUGAGUAUGCUGGCUGUUAAACCGGUUGUUUCCCACUCCAACUGCCGGAAAGAUAUGAGUUUCCUGAACAUGUUCAGGUGUGGCCUUCCUUACACAGUUUAUUGCACCGUGUUGUAUCUAAUCCACACACAUAAUGAAUAAACCACUGCUGAUGAGAUAUCUGAGGAAUUCUCUCAUUGUAAUGUCACUCACUGUCAAUAUUGACUCGAGACCUUGAAAAAGGGGAUUUUGUUUUUCUUCUGUACGGUACAACAUUGGCCGGUUAAUAUCAAACUUACUGUGUAGAGUUCAAAGAUACAUUGACCGACAGUGUGUCACUAAUCGCACUGUCCCAAAGUUCUUCCCUGGGAGUGUACGGCUAUAACUGAUGAGUCAUUUCAUGCCUUGAUUCUGUGCUUGCAUCAGCCCAGUGUGCUGGCUUUCAUUUCAGUGGUUGUGAAGCAUUUCCAGGAAUACUUCAGUUAAAAAAAAAAAAAAAAAAAAUGGCUGGAUUC